GACGAACGCUGGCGGCGUGCUUAACACAUGCAAGUCGAACGGAAAGGCCCUGCUUGCAGGGUACUCGAGUGGCGAACGGGUGAGUAACACGUGGGUGAUCUGCCCUGCACUUCGGGAUAAGCCUGGGAAACUGGGUCUAAUACCGGAUAGGAGCCAUUUUUAGUGUGAUGGUUGGAAAGUUUUUUCGGUGUAGGAUGAGCUCGCGGCCUAUCAGCUUGUUGGUGGGGUAAUGGCCUACCAAGGCGGCGACGGGUAGCCGGCCUGAGAGGGUGGACGGCCACAUUGGGACUGAGAUACGGCCCAGACUCCUACGGGAGGCAGCAGUGGGGAAUAUUGCACAGUGGGCGCAAGCCUGAUGCAGCGACGCCGCGUGGGGGAUGACGGCCUUCGGGUUGUAAACUCCUUUCGCUAGGGACGAAGCUUUUUGUGACGGUACCUAGAUAAGAAGCACCGGCUAACUACGU
rnacentral:rRNA from 1 species